AUUGAACGCUGGCGGCAGGCCUAACACAUGCAAGUCGAACGGUAGCACAGAGGAGCUUGCUCCUUGGGUGACGAGUGGCGGACGGGUGAGUAAUGUCUGGGAAACUGCCCGAUGGAGGGGGAUAACUACUGGAAACGGUAGCUAAUACCGCAUAACGUCUUCGGACCAAAGUGGGGGACCUUCGGGCCUCACACCAUCGGAUGUGCCCAGAUGGGAUUAGCUAGUAGGUGGGGUAAUGGCUCACCUAGGCGACGAACCCUAGCUGGUCUGAGAGGAUGACCAGCCACCCUGGAACUGAGACACGGUCCAGACUCCUACGGGAGGCAGCAGUGGGGAAUAUUGCACAAUGGGCGCAAGCCUGAUGCAGCCAUGCCGCGUGUAUGAAGAAGGCCUUCGGGUUGUAAAGUACUUUCAGCGGGGAGGAAGGCGUUAAGGUUAAUAACCUUGGCGAUUGACGUUACCCGCAGAAGAAGCACCGGCUAACUCCGUGCCAGCCGCCGCUGUAACAC
rnacentral:rRNA from 1 species